AUUGAACGCUGGCGGCAGGCCUAACACAUGCAAGUCGAGCGGAUGAAGGGAGCUUGCUCCUGGAUUCAGCGGCGGACGGGUGAGUAAUGCCUAGGAAUCUGCCUGGUAGUGGGGGAUAACGUCCGGAAACGGGCGCUAAUACCGCAUACGUCCUGAGGGAGAAAGUGGGGGAUCUUCGGACCUCACGCUAUCAGAUGAGCCUAGGUCGGAUUAGCUAGUUGGUGGGGUAAAGGCCUACCAAGGCGACGAUCCGUAACUGGUCUGAGAGGAUGAUCAGUCACACUGGAACUGAGACACGGUCCAGACUCCUACGGGAGGGAGCAGUGGGGGAUAUUGGACAAUGGGCGAAAGCCUGAUCCAGCCAUGCCGCGUGUGUGAAGAAGGUCUUCGGAUUGUAAAGCACUUUAAGUUGGGAGGAAGGGCAGUAAGUUAAUACCUUGCUGUUUUGACGUUACCAACGGAAUAAGCACCGGCUAACUUCGUG
rnacentral:rRNA from 1 species